UAUCGAUUGGUGCAAACCGAAAUUACUUUCUUGCCAACCCGAUAAGAUCUCCGGUCCCAAAAGAUAAACAGAAAGAAGGUAUUAAACGGUGAUAAAGGGCGACAGCGCGAGAACUCGUGAAGAGUAAUCGCGCGAGAGAAUCGGGACGAAAAUACAGAGAAAGAUGUCCGAAAGCAUAAACGACGAAGACGGUUGCCGUAACGCUAUCUAUUGGUGCAAACCGAAAUUACUUUCUUGCCAAGCCAAUGCAUAGAUGAACACAAGUAAUUUCGAUGAUCAUCGUGAUCGUUAACUUCGAGGUUAAGAUCGUUAACUCGAGAUAGUCUGGAACGACUCAAAGCGUAUAAAUUAAUUGUAUAAAGCAUGUCGCAAUGAUUCUAUUAUAUUUGGCCAAAAUACGUCGUGGUUUGGAAACUUUGUUUCGUGCGCUUCGAUGGCUCAGAUUUGUGCGCCAUGAGAGGAAAUCUGGGAUUCAUAGCCAAGGAUUGUUCCACGAAAUUGUUUAAUGCUAACAAAAAUGCCGAUCGUUCAUCAAGGACUUCUUCACGGGGACAAAUUUAAAUUUAUUUCGCCAUUCCACAAUUACACCGAUGCACUUCCGCGAAGGACAAACUAAAGAAGUUCGAUCAACGGUGUUAAAUUGUCCUGUAUCUGUUCCUAUCUGCAACAGGAACAAAAUUAUAACCCAACUAAAACUCAA